rnacentral:tRNA from 1 species
GGGGGUGUAGCUCAGUGGUAGAGUUCUUAGCUAGCAUUUGAGAAGGCCUGGGUUCAAUCCUCAGCACCACAA